rnacentral:rRNA from 1 species
UACAGAGGGUGCGAGCGUUGUCCGGAAUCACUGGGCGUAAAGGGCGCGUAGGUGGUGACCUAAGCGUGCGGUGAAAGCCCGAGGCUCAACCUCGGGUCGGCCGUGCGAACUGGGUCACUGGAGCAGAAUAGAGGCAGGUGGAAUUCCGGGUGUAGCGGUGGAAUGCGUAGAGAUCCGGAAGAACACCGGUGGCGAAGGCGGGUCUCUGGGCCGAUACUGACGCUGAGGAGCGAAAGCGUGGGGAGCGAACAGG